GCGUUUGUAGCUCAAUGGUAGAGCAGUGCUUUGUGGCAGCAAAGGUUGUGGGUUCGAGUCCCAUUAGACGCC
rnacentral:tRNA from 1 species